GAUGAACGCUGGCGGCGUGCCUAAUACAUGCAAGUCGAGCGAACGGACGAGAAGCUUGCUUCUCUGAUGUUAGCGGCGGACGGGUGAGUAACACGUGGAUAACCUACCUAUAAGACUGGGAUAACUUCGGGAAACCGGAGCUAAUACCGGAUAAUAUUUUGAACCGCAUGGUUCAAAAGUGAAAGACGGUCUUGCUGUCACUUAUAGAUGGAUCCGCGCUGCAUUAGCUAGUUGGUAAGGUAACGGCUUACCAAGGCAACGAUGCAUAGCCGACCUGAGAGGGUGAUCGGCCACACUGGAACUGAGACACGGUCCAGACUCCUACGGGAGGCAGCAGUAGGGAAUCUUCCGCAAUGGGCGAAAGCCUGACGGAGCAACGCCGCGUGAGUGAUGAAGGUCUUCGGAUCGUAAAACUCUGUUAUUAGGGAAGAACAUAUGUGUAAGUAACUGUGCACAUCUUGACGGUACCUAAUCAGAAAGCCACGGCUAACUACGUGCCAGCAGCCGCGGUAAUACGUAGGUGGCAAGCGUUAUCCGGAAUUAUUGGGCGUAAAGCGCGCGUAGGCGGUUUUUUAAGUCUGAUGUGAAAGCCCACGGCUCAACCGUGGAGGGUCAUUGGAAACUGGAAAACUUGAGUGCAGAAGAGGAAAGUGGAAUUCCAUGUGUAGCGGUGAAAUGCGCAGAGAUAUGGAGGAACACCAGUGGCGAAGGCGACUUUCUGGUCUGUAACUGACGCUGAUGUGCGAAAGCGUGGGGAUCAAACAGGAUUAGAUACCCUGGUAGUCCACGCCGUAAACGAUGAGUGCUAAGUGUUAGGGGGUUUCCGCCCCUUAGUGCUGCAGCUAACGCAUUAAGCACUCCGCCUGGGGAGUACGACCGCAAGGUUGAAGCUCAAAGGAAUUGACGGGGACCCGCACAAGCGGUGGAGCAUGUGGUUUAAUUCGAAGCAACGCGAAGAACCUUACCAAAUCUUGACACCCUUUGACAACUCUAGAGAUAGAGCCUUCCCCUUCGGGGGACAAAGUGACAGGUGGUGCAUGGUUGUCGUCAGCUCGUGUCGUGAGAUGUUGGGUUAAGUCCCGCAACGAGCGCAACCCUUAAGCUUAGUUGCCAUCAUUAAGUUGGGCACUCUAAGUUGACUGCCGGUGACAAACCGGAGGAAGGUGGGGAUGACGUCAAAUCAUCAUGCCCCUUAUGAUUUGGGCUACACACGUGCUACAAUGGACAAUACAAAGGGCAGCGAAACCGCGAGGUCAAGCAAAUCCCAUAAAGUUGUUCUCAGUUCGGAUUGUAGUCUGCAACUCGACUACAUGAAGCUGGAAUCGCUAGUAAUCGUAGAUCAGCAUGCUACGGUGAAUACGUUCCCGGGUCU
rnacentral:rRNA from 1 species